UACGGGGGGGGCAAGCGUUGUUCGGAAUUACUGGGCGUAAAGAGCGCGUAGGCGGAAGCUUAAGUGUGGCCUGAAAGCCCCCGGCUCAACCGGGGAAGGUGGCUGCAAACUGGGCUUCUUGAGGGGGAUAGGGGAAAGUGGAAUUCCGGGUGUAGCGGUGAAAUGCGUAGAGAUCCGGAGGAACACCAGUGGCGAAGGCGGCUUGCUGGGCCGGACCUGACGCUGAGACGCGAAGGCGUGGGGAGCGAACGGG
rnacentral:rRNA from 1 species